AUUGAACGCUGGCGGCAGGCCUAACACAUGCAAGUCGAACGGUAGCACAGAGGAGCUUGCUCCUUGGGUGACGAGUGGCGGACGGGUGAGUAAUGUCUGGGAAACUGCCCGAUGGAGGGGGAUAACUACUGGAAACGGUAGCUAAUACCGCAUAACGUCUUCGGACCAAAGUGGGGGACCUUCGGGCCUCACACCAUCGGAUGUGCCCAGAUGGGAUUAGCUAGUAGGUGGGGUAAUGGCUCACCUAGGCGCCGAUCCCUAGCUGGUCUGAGAGGAUGACCAGCCACACUGGAACUGAGACACGGUCCAGACUCCUACGGGAGGAAGCAGUGGGGAAUAUUGCACAAUGGGCGCAAGCCUGAUGCAGCCAUGCCGCGUGUAUGAAGAAGGCCUUCGGGUUGUAAAGUACUUUCAGCGGGGAGGAAGGCGUUAAGGUUAAUAACCUUGGCGAUUGACGUUACCCGCAGAAGAAGCACCGGCUAACUCCGUGCCAGCCGCCGCGGUAA
rnacentral:rRNA from 1 species